GUCAAAGAUUUAUCGCUGGAAGAUGGCCUCGCGUCUGAUUAGCUAGUUGGUGAGGUAACGGCCCACCAAGGCGACGAUCAGUAGCCGGACUGAGAGGUUGGCCGGCCACAUUGGGACUGAGAUACGGCCCAGACUCCUACGGGAGGCAGCAG
rnacentral:rRNA from 1 species